CAGCCGCCGCGGGAAUACAGAGGGUGCGAGCGUUAAUCGGAUUUACUGGGCGUAAAGCGUGCGUAGGCGGCUUUUUAAGUCGGAUGUGAAAUCACUGAGCUUAACUUAGGAAUUGCAUUCGAUACUGGGAAGCUAGAGUAUGGGAGAGGAUGGUAGAAUUCCAGGUGUAGCGGUGAAAUGCGUAGAGAUCUGGAGGAAUACCGAUGGCGAAGGCAGCCAUCUGGCCUAAUACUGACGCUGAGGUACGAAAGCAUGGGGAGCAAACAGGAUUAGAUACCCCGGUAGUCCCUGUCUCUUAUAC
rnacentral:rRNA from 1 species